UUUCUUUUUUGACAUUCGAUUUUGUGCCCUGUUAGGGUUUUUUUAACAGCCUCCGAACUGAACUUGUCGAAUAUCCAGGCAUAGCAGUUUCUAACAUUUGCCCAGGACCUGUGCAGUCACAGAUUGUGAACAACGCCCUAGGUGAAGAAGUUACAAAGGCUGUGGGCAAUGGUGGAGACCAGUCGUACAAGAUGGCAACUAGUCGUUGUGUGCGGCUGAUGUUAGUCACCAUGGCCAAUGAUUUGAAAGAGGUCUGGAUUGGAGAUCAACCGUUUUUGUUGGUAGUGUAUUUGUGGCAAUAUAUGCCAACCUGGGCCUGGUGGAUAACCAACAAGUUAGGAAAGAAAAGGAUUGAAAACUUCAAGAGCGGUGUGGAUGCGGACUCCUCUUAUUUUAAAUUCCUGAAGAAAAAACAUGACUGAAUGGAACACUUGCAAUUUCUCAGCUACUUGAGGGAGAAGUGAAAAACAACCACAGCAACCUGCUUAUAUUUUUCAAUACAACUUUACUUUCAGCAUGUAAUGAAUAAUAAACAUUGCCAUGAAUCUUAUAUUAAUACAUACUAUGUUCUUGAAUAAAAAAGGUUAAAAAAUA